CUGAAAACUGCAUCAGGAUGAUGUUGCCAAUAACUCUGCUGGUCAUGUUGGGUUUUCUGACUCAGGGGUCUUCUGCCAACAAAUUUCUGACUCAGACUGACAAAUCCAAGUCUGUCAGUCUUGGAGGGACGGUGACCAUCAGCGCCACAGGGAGUUCAGACAUUGGUGAUGAUCUCAGUUGGUACCUUCAGAAACCUGGACAAGCUCCCAAACUUCUUAUAUACAGAGUAGGCAGUCUCUUCUCAGGAACUCCGUCUCGAUUCAGUGGCAGUAGAUCUGGUUCUCGCUACACUCUGACCAUCAGUGGUGUUCAGGCUGAAGAUGUUGGAGAUUACUACUGUCUGGGCUUACAUAGUGGUGGAGUGUUCACACAGUGA